rnacentral:rRNA from 1 species
GACGAACGCUGGCGGCAUGCCUUACACAUGCAAGUCGAACGGCAGCACGGGAGUAAUCCUGGUGGCGAGUGGCGAACGGGUGAGUAAUAUAUCGGAACGUGCCCAGUCGUGGGGGAUAACGCAGCGAAAGCUGUGCUAAUACCGCAUACGAUCUAAGGAUGAAAGCGGGGGAUCGCAAGACCUCGCGCGAUUGGAGCGGCCGAUAUCAGAUUAGCUAGUUGGUGGGGUAAAGGCCCACCAAGGCGACGAUCUGUAGCUGGUCUGAGAGGACGACCAGCCACACUGGAACUGAGACACGGUCCAGACUCCUACGGGAGGCAGCAGUGGGGAAUUUUGGACAAUGGGCGCAAGCCUGAUCCAGCAAUGCCGCGUGCAGAUGAAGGCCUUCGGGUUGUAAACUGCUUUUGUACGGAACGAAACGGCCCUUUCUAAUACAGGGGGCUAAUGACGGUACCGUAAGAAUAAGCACCGGCUAACUACGUGCCAGCCGCCGCAGUAA